UCAGCUCGUGUCGUGAGAUGUUGGGUUAAGUCCCGCAACGAGCGCAACCCUCAUCCUUAGUUGCCAUCAGGUAAUGCUGAGUACUUUAAGGAAACUGCCAGUGAUAAGCUGGAGGAAGGUGGGGAUGAUGUCAAGUCAUCAUGGCCUUUAUGGAGUGGGCUACACACGUGCUACAAUGGUGGCUACAAUGGGCUGCAAAGUA
rnacentral:rRNA from 1 species